CCAAACGACUCGGUCCUCUUACACUCGGGCAGCGUUAAAUUUUUGCCGAAAAAAUAAACUGUGAUCGUGAAAACCAUGGUGUUGGUGUUGUUGGCGGCGUUGCUCUUUGUAUUGGUGGUCGAAUUGCUGUUGGCAGUGCUCCGUUUGUUGGUCGCUGGCUAAAGGGGCUCUGAUUAUUAUUUUAUUUUCUUUUAUUUUUUUGUGAUUUUUUCGUUUGUUUUCGUAGUUUUGUACACUCGUAUGCACGAUCGCUGGCUGGAUCGGCAGUUCGGUGGGUUUUGUGGCACAGGUAGACAGUAAGGCGUUAGUCGUUCUACAGCGCUGAUCGAGUUUAAAUCUAUUUUACGGUAUAAGGCAAAUAUCGAUCGCAACAAAAGAUCGGUAACGCGCCGCUUUUCUUACAAAAUAUUUUGAAAUUGAUUUUGAAACAAUCAAAAAGUACGCGUCUAUAAGUUUUUAAUUAAAUAUGUGUUUUAGUGGCAGGUGUCUUUGUGUGACGGAACUACGCAGCGGUUACUAAAAUUAUUUGCGUUUAACGAUUGCAACAUUAACAAAGAAAAUAUUGCAAAAAACAUCAACAGCAACAACAACAAGCAAGUUAUUGCAAGCAUAAAACAAAGCAGAGGAGUGUGCACAAUUAAAUUAUGUGAAAAAAUUUGCAAUGACAUACAUGCAAGCACACAUACACACACACACAAACACAUGAAUGUGUACAUGCGAUGUAAGAUGAACGGCAGUGACUAAAACGUGUUGUCAAAUUGCAUGCAACUUGUUGUAAGCGACACCGCAGCGGCUUGGAUUACAUGAACAAAGCAACGUUGCCAAACAACAACAACAAAAAUAAGAACAGCGGCAGCAACAAUUUCGUGGUAGCAAACAGCCACAAAGGUGCCGAAACUUCUAGAACAAAUGACAACAACAGCAACAAAAAAAACGAAACAACAACAACACCAACUAAGCAGUAACUGUAAAAGCGAAUAGUAGAACUAAUUUCAGUGUCAUCGGCAGCAAUUGUCGCGUUUGCGUCAUAAGUCAGCAAACGAACAACAAUAGCAACAACAACAACAACAAGUAUAUAAGAAAAGAAACAUUGACCAAUAAGCCAGCCAAUGGGCCAAAGCCGCCAUUUGAGCUGCCAACAACACCACAGACACACAUUUGCUGUAAACAACAACAACAA
rnacentral:lncRNA from 1 species